AUUGCAGAAUUCAGUVAAUCAUCSAAUCUUUVAACGCACCUUGCGCCCCUUGGUAUUCCGAGGGGCACGCCUGUUUVAGUGUCGUGAAAUUCUCAAC
rnacentral:rRNA from 1 species